rnacentral:rRNA from 1 species
GUGGGGAAUAUUGGACAAUGGGGGGAACCCUGAUCCAGCCAUGCCGCGUGUGUGAAGAAGGCCUUUUGGUUGUAAAGCACUUUAAGUGGGGAGGAGGCUUACCUGGUUAAUACCUGGGCUAAGUGGACGUUACCCACAGAAUAAGCACCGGCUAACUCUGUGCCAGCAGCCGCGGUAAUACAGAGGGUGCGAGCGUUAAUCGGAUUUACUGGGCGUAAAGCGCGCGUAGGUGGUUAAUUAAGUCAAAUGUGAAAUCCCCGAGCUUAACUUGGGGAUUGCAUUCGAUACUGGUUAGCUAGAGUAUGGGAGAGGAUGGUAGAAUUCCAGGUGUAGCGGUGAAAUGCGUAGAGAUCUGGAGGAAUACCGAUGGCGAAGGCAGCCAUCUGGCCUAAUACUGACACUGAGGUGCGAAAGCAUGGGGAGCAAACAGGAUUAGAAACCCGAGUAGUCC